CCGCCCAUAGCUCAGCUGGUAGAGCAUCCGCCUCUUAAGCGGGUUGUCGUAGGUUCGAAUCCUACUGGGCGGA
rnacentral:tRNA from 1 species